ACUUGUGUGGCUUAGUGGUGGGAACAUAGGCUGUUGUUCUUGUGGUUGUGGGUUCGAAUCCCCCGAAGAGCA
rnacentral:tRNA from 1 species